GCCGUCGACCACCGAGGCUCCCGCUCCUGCGUGUUGCGGGCUCUCCCGGGACGCAGCUGCGCUCCGGCGGGCAGGAACACGCGGGGCUUGGAGGCCUGGCAGGGAGAAGCGCCUCUUUCAUCAGGGAAAAUGAGGCCAAAGAGUGAGCUUGAGCAGUGCCGUGUGCCCCAGCAGGGACAACCCUUCCUCUGCAUAGCCCCAAACCUGUUCACAGCAAGCACCCUCAGACCCUUGCACUUUGUAACAACUGUACUGCUCCCACCCAGCUACACUUACACCCAGACAGGCAUGUGGUGCCCACACAGCUGGGCACACACAGCCGGACACAUGCUCCUCCAAACCUCCCACGUGGGGCCAGCCCCCCUCAGAUCCCAGGCAUUCGGUACACCAUGCACCCUGCACCCCCAGUCCUUCAUCCUCACACCAUUUUUGGGUAAUAAAAGUACUC